CGCUAUCACUCCUACGGGAGGCAGCAGUGGGGAAUAUUGCACAAUGGGGGAAACCCUGAUGCAGCCAUGCCGCGUGUGUGAAGAAGGCCUUCGGGUUGUAAAGCACUUUCAGUAGGGAGGAAGGUAGUGUAGUUAACACCUGCAUUAUUUGACGUUACCUACAGAAGAAGCACCGGCUAACUCCGUGCCAGCAGCCGCGGUAAUACGGAGGGUGCGAGCGUUAAUCGGAAUUACUGGGCGUAAAGCGCAUGCAGGCGGCCUGUUAAGUCAGAUGUGAAAGCCCGGGGCUUAACCUCGGAAUUGCAUUUGAAACUGGCAGGCUAGAGUCUUGUAGAGGGGGUAGAAUUUCAGGUGUAGCGGUGAAAAUGCGUAGAGAUCUGAAGGAAUACCAGUGGCGAAGGCGGCCCCCUGGACAAAGACUGACGCUCAGAUGCGAAAGCGUGGGGAGCAAACAGGAUUAGAUACCCUGGUAG
rnacentral:rRNA from 1 species